UUUUUUCAGUUGAGGGUCUUUCUUUGAUGAUUCUAGUCUGUCAAAUUGACAAAAAAAUUAACACAGAUAGUAAGAUACCUGAAAUAAUUAUUAAUCUGAAAGUAUUGAACACAUAUUGUGAAAGCUGUCUCUAAGUCAGUAUGUUACUCCUUAUGUCUGUAUUGGAAAGUUGAGUUGGUAAUCAUUUCUUACUAUUUUGAAUUUGUGCUGCAUAACAUGCCAAGAACAGAGAAAGUACUCUUUCUUUCUAACAUAAUAUUAUUACUGAUUUUUUGGGGGAGGAGUUUCACAUCAUGUACCCUAGUCACACUCACUUCUCAGUCUUCCCAGGUGUGCCCCCAGUCUUGUGCAACCUCCUGGAUUCCCACCACCAAAAAGGAAAACAAGACCAGUUUCUUUUGCCCAUAUACUCACUGGGGCAUGUGCAAUCAGACUCCCAGUAGCCAGCCCCUUAAAGAGCACUAAGUAUAUUAAUGUGCUUUUAUCACCUCUAAGUUACUGAACUGAUUGAUGUAUUUAUCUUGAAGGACAGUAGUCACUAGAUCAGUGGUUCACCCUGUGGGUUGCAACCCACAAAAGACCACUGGAAAACACCUAUUUAUAUUACCAUUCAUAACAGUAGCAAAAUUAUAGUUAUGAAGUAGCAACAAAAAUAAUUUUAAGGUUAGGAGUCACCACAACAUGAGGGAACUGUAUAAAAAGGUGGCAGCAGUAGGUAGGUUGAGAAACACUACAUUAGAUAGCCUAUUUUGGCAUGUCCCAGAUAAUCAAUAAUCUGAGCUCUGUCUUCAGAAGGUAGUGACAGCUGGUUAACAUGAAAAUAUUAGAGCACCAGUAGGUUCCUUUAGGCUGAGUACACUGAAAAAAAUAUGACAGUCUGUGCUUAUUCUGUGGUUGUGUUGAGAGUUUGCCUAUGCUCUUUAGAGUUCCUUGUAUUAACCAUCAGGACUAUCAAAUCCACCCCUGGUAGCAUUGUCCAGUGCUGACUCUACUAUGUGUAUGGAAAUAGGCUUAUCAGCACUGCCUACUACAGCCCCAAGUCUGGCCAUACUGGGGUGUUGGUUUAAUCUUAAUCUUAAAUGCAGUUUGAAAUGGAUCCUUUUCUUACAGUCUCUGCGAUAUGACACCAGUUAUUUUGUGGAAUAUUUUGCACUGGAUCUUCUGAUGGAAAAUGGGGAGUGCCGUGGUGUCAUUGCACUGUGCAUAGAAGAUGGGUCCAUACACCGAAUAAGAGCAAAAAACACUGUUAUUGCUACUGGGUAGGCUUUUAUUGUAUUUAAUUUCUUAUAUAAAAAUUGAGUGUCAGUAUGGGGGUGGGAGUGUUUGCUUUUUUGUUAAAGUGGUUCAGGGCAAUGGGUCAGACGUAGGCCUUCAUGUCAUCUCAUGCAGAAGAUAACCUUUCCCAGCCUUGGUACCUUUGUCACAAUAUAGAUGUUCUCUGAGCAUAAUGGGGCAAAAUUUGGGAUUAUAAAGCUUACUUUACCUGUUUUAAUAUAAAUAGUAAGCUUAGAGAGUCACAUGGUAUUUUCAGAUAAACUUUCCUGCUUUCUUGUUUACUAAGUAUACUGAUUCUUAGAAUCAUAAAGUACAUUUCAGUUAAUAAGAUUUCAUUUUUACCAUUUUUAAAGUUAUAAGCUGAAGGUAUAUCUCAGUUGUAGAGUAUUUGCUUGUCUUGAAUCCACAUGGUCCUGGAUUCAUUCUACUUUACCACCAUCCCCUACUCCCACCCAUCCCCCAU
rnacentral:lncRNA from 1 species